GUAGUGGGUGUAGCGUACCUACUAGCCUACGACGGGUACGGGUUGUGAGAGCAAGAGCCCGGAGAUGGAUUCUGAGACACGAAUCCAGGCCCUACGGGGUGCAGCAGGCGCGAAAACUUUACAAUGCUGGAAACAGCGAUAAGGGGACCUCGAGUGCCAGGUUACAAAUCUGGCUGUCGUGAUGCCUAAAAAGCAUUGCAUAGCAAGGGCCGGGCAAGACCGGUGCCAGCCGCCGCGGUAACACCGGCGGCUCGAGUGGUAACCGUUAUUAUUGGGUCUAAAGGGUCUGUAGCCGGCCGGAUAAGUCUCUUGGGAAAUCCAGCAGCUCAACUGUUGGGCUUUCAGGAGAUACUGUCUGGCUCGAGGCCGGGAGAGGUGAGAGGUACUUCAGGGGUAGGGGUGAAAUCUUGUAAUCCUUGAAGGACCACCAGUGGCGAAGGCGUCUCACCAGAACGGACCUGACGGCAAGGGACGAAAGCUAGGGGCACGAACCGGAUUAGAUACCCGGGUAGUCCUAGCCGUAAACGAUACUCGCUAGGUGUCGGCCACGGUGCGACCGUUGUCGGUGCCGUAGGGAAGCCGUGAAGCGAGCCACCUGGGAAGUACGGCCGCAAGGCUGAAACUUAAAGGAAUUGGGGGGGAGCACCACAACGGGUGGAGCUUGCGGUUUAAUUGGAUUCAACGCCGGAAAUCUUACCGGGACCGACAGCAAUAUGAAGGCCAGGCUGAGGACUUUGCCGGAUUAGCUGAGAGGUGGUGCAUGGCCGUCGUCAGUUCGUACUGUGAAGCAUCCUGUUAAGUCAGGCAACGAGCGAGACCCACGCCCACAGUUGCCAGCGUACUCUCCGGAGUGACGGGUACACUGUGGGGACCGCCGCUGCUAAAGCGGAGGAAGGAAUGGGCAACGGUAGGUCAGUAUGCCCCGAAUAUCCCGGGCUACACGCGAGCUACAAUGGUUGGUACAAUGGGUAUCUGCCCCGAAAGGGGAUGGAAAUCUCCUAAAGCCAAUCUUAGUUCGGAUUGAGGGCUGCAACUCGCCCUCAUGAAGCUGGAAUCCGUAGUAAUCGCGUUUCAACAGAACGCGGUGAAUACGUCCCUGCUCCUUGCACACACCGCCCGUCAAACCACCCGAGUAGGGUCUGAAUGAGAGCGCUUCCUUCGGAGGCGUUCGAAUUUGGGCUUUGCAAGGGGGGUUAAGUCGUAACAAGGUA
rnacentral:rRNA from 1 species